GGGUUGUGAGGUUAAGCGACUAAGCGUACACGGUGGAUGCCCUGGCAGUCAGAGGCGAUGAAGGACGUGCUAAUCUGCGAUAAGCGUCGGUAAGGUGAUAUGAACCGUUAUAACCGGCGAUUUCCGAAUGGGGAAACCCAGUGUGUUUCGACACACUAUCAUUAACUGAAUCCAUAGGUUAAUGAGGCGAACCGGGGGAACUGAAACAUCUAAGUACCCCGAGGAAAAGAAAUCAACCGAGAUUCCCCCAGUAGCGGCGAGCGAACGGGGAGCAGCCCAGAGCCUGAAUCAGUGUGUGUGUUAGUGGAAGCGUCUGGAAAGGCGCGCGAUACAGGGUGACAGCCCCGUACACAAAAAUGCACAUACUGUGAGCUCGAUGAGUAGGGCGGGACACGUGGUAUCCUGUCUGAAUAUGGGGGGACCAUCCUCCAAGGCUAAAUACUCCUGACUGACCGAUAGUGAACCAGUACCGUGAGGGAAAGGCGAAAAGAACCCCGGCGAGGGGAGUGAAAAAGAACCUGAAACCGUGUACGUACAAGCAGUGGGAGCACAGAGCAAUCUGUGUGACUGCGUACCUUUUGUAUAAUGGGUCAGCGACUUAUAUUCUGUAGCAAGGUUAACCGAAUAGGGGAGCCGAAGGGAAACCGAGUCUUAACUGGGCGUUAAGUUGCAGGGUAUAGACCCGAAACCCGGUGAUCUAGCCAUGGGCAGGUUGAAGGUUGGGUAACACUAACUGGAGGACCGAACCGACUAAUGUUGAAAAAUUAGCGGAUGACUUGUGGCUGGGGGUGAAAGGCCAAUCAAACCGGGAGAUAGCUGGUUCUCCCCGAAAGCUAUUUAGGUAGCGCCUCGUGAAUUCAUCUCCGGGGGUAGAGCACUGUUUCGGCAAGGGGGUCAUCCCGACUUACCAACCCGAUGCAAACUGCGAAUACCGGAGAAUGUUAUCACGGGAGACACACGGCGGGUGCUAACGUCCGUCGUGAAGAGGGAAACAACCCAGACCGCCAGCUAAGGUCCCAAAGUCAUGGUUAAGUGGGAAACGAUGUGGGAAGGCCCAGACAGCCAGGAUGUUGGCUUAGAAGCAGCCAUCAUUUAAAGAAAGCGUAAUAGCUCACUGGUCGAGUCGGCCUGCGCGGAAGAUGUAACGGGGCUAAACCAUGCACCGAAGCUGCGGCAGCGACGCUUAUGCGUUGUUGGGUAGGGGAGCGUUCUGUAAGCCUGUGAAGGUGUGCUGUGAGGCAUGCUGGAGGUAUCAGAAGUGCGAAUGCUGACAUAAGUAACGAUAAAGCGGGUGAAAAGCCCGCUCGCCGGAAGACCAAGGGUUCCUGUCCAACGUUAAUCGGGGCAGGGUGAGUCGACCCCUAAGGCGAGGCCGAAAGGCGUAGUCGAUGGGAAACAGGUUAAUAUUCCUGUACUUGGUGUUACUGCGAAGGGGGGACGGAGAAGGCUAUGUUGGCCGGGCGACGGUUGUCCCGGUUUAAGCGUGUAGGCUGGUUUUCCAGGCAAAUCCGGAAAAUCAAGGCUGAGGCGUGAUGACGAGGCACUACGGUGCUGAAGCAACAAAUGCCCUGCUUCCAGGAAAAGCCUCUAAGCAUCAGGUAACAUCAAAUCGUACCCCAAACCGACACAGGUGGUCAGGUAGAGAAUACCAAGGCGCUUGAGAGAACUCGGGUGAAGGAACUAGGCAAAAUGGUGCCGUAACUUCGGGAGAAGGCACGCUGAUAUGUAGGUGAAGUCCCUCGCGGAUGGAGCUGAAAUCAGUCGAAGAUACCAGCUGGCUGCAACUGUUUAUUAAAAACACAGCACUGUGCAAACACGAAAGUGGACGUAUACGGUGUGACGCCUGCCCGGUGCCGGAAGGUUAAUUGAUGGGGUUAGCGGUAACGCGAAGCUCUUGAUCGAAGCCCCGGUAAACGGCGGCCGUAACUAUAACGGUCCUAAGGUAGCGAAAUUCCUUGUCGGGUAAGUUCCGACCUGCACGAAUGGCGUAAUGAUGGCCAGGCUGUCUCCACCCGAGACUCAGUGAAAUUGAACUCGCUGUGAAGAUGCAGUGUACCCGCGGCAAGACGGAAAGACCCCGUGAACCUUUACUAUAGCUUGACACUGAACAUUGAGCCUUGAUGUGUAGGAUAGGUGGGAGGCUUUGAAGUGUGGACGCCAGUCUGCAUGGAGCCGGCCUUGAAAUACCACCCUUUAAUGUUUGAUGUUCUAACGUUGGCCCCUGAUCGGGGUUGCGGACAGUGUCUGGUGGGUAGUUUGACUGGGGCGGUCUCCUCCUAAAGAGUAACGGAGGAGCACGAAGGUUGGCUAAUCCUGGUCGGACAUCAGGAGGUUAGUGCAAUGGCAUAAGCCAGCUUGACUGCGAGCGUGACGGCGCGAGCAGGUGCGAAAGCAGGUCAUAGUGAUCCGGUGGUUCUGAAUGGAAGGGCCAUCGCUCAACGGAUAAAAGGUACUCCGGGGAUAACAGGCUGAUACCGCCCAAGAGUUCAUAUCGACGGCGGUGUUUGGCACCUCGAUGUCGGCUCAUCACAUCCUGGGGCUGAAGUAGGUCCCAAGGGUAUGGCUGUUCGCCAUUUAAAGUGGUACGCGAGCUGGGUUUAGAACGUCGUGAGACAGUUCGGUCCCUAUCUGCCGUGGGCGCUGGAGAACUGAGGGGGGCUGCUCCUAGUACGAGAGGACCGGAGUGGACGCAUCACUGGUGUUCGGGUUGUCAUGCCAAUGGCACUGCCCGGUAGCUAAAUGCGGAAGAGAUAAGUGCUGAAAGCAUCUAAGCACGAAACUUGCCCCGAGAUGAGUUCUCCCUGACUCCUUGAGAGUCCUGAAGGAACGUUGAAGACGACGACGUUGAUAGGCCGGGUGUGUAAGCGCAGCGAUGCGUUGAGCUAACCGGUACUAAUGAACCGUGAGGCUUAACCUUACAACGCCGAAG
rnacentral:rRNA from 1 species